rnacentral:lncRNA from 1 species
CAAAUCUGUUGAGUAUGAUUAAAGAAUAGAGUGCUGUGAGAGAAGGGAGAAGUAAAUUAAAUUGAGACCUGAAAGAAGAGUAGACAUUAGCCAAACUAAGUCAUGAAGAACUUUCCAGGCAAAGUCUCUUGGGGUAGGGGGAAGCUUGGCAAGUUUCAGGAAACAAAACAAGGCAGUGUGGCUGAAAGGAUCAAGGAGAAUGGUGCC